UUGCCCUGCGAAUUUAACUUCAUUAUCCCCCUAACACCAUCGUAAACACAGAGAUACCCCCGGCUGAUGGUUUGCAGUGCCGCAACAUCGCCCUCUUUUGCUCCGGACAUCAAAUGACAUGUCUGCUUUUGUCAACGACUACCAGGCGAGUCAGACAGUCGAUCCGUUUGGUUUGCCUGUGGCGCUAGCCAGCCAGCCAGCCAGCCAGCAACAACCAACCGCCUGAAUGUAGAUCCGCAUGGGCUGCUACUACUACUCUAUCUCUCCGAAUAACCCAGCGGAAUCAUAAGAUAAGGAUCCCAGGAUGGUGUUAGUGCAUGUCGGAUAUCUGGUUCUACCCGUAUUCGGCUCAGUAAGAAACAGAGUAUGGAGGCUGGCUCUACAUUCUGCAUUUAUCAGAUCUUUGUCGUCCCCCCCAUUGUGUAGCUAAUGAUCAUCUGCUGCUGUGUGGUGUGGCGUGGCCUCUGCCUGUUCUCUGCAUUUAGCUGUAUUGUGAAUCCCUUCUUCAUUUCCUCUUUCCAUCAGAAGACGACAUUGGUAUUAAAAAGCACCCCCUCCCAAGAUGUAUUCAGCCAUAGACUUUCCAUGUUGAGCAGACUAAAACAAUAGCUAACACCUAGUACACAGCACCUUUUUGUCUUUUUUUCUGUCAAAUUGCUGUAGCACUGAGUUAACAUUUUAGCUCCUUUUUAGAAAUCAGUUGAAUGUCAUUGUGUACCUCCCAUCCAGUCUUGAUAGACAACAUGCUGUAAAUUCCUGUAAAGUGGAUACAUUUUGCAUGAUCUCAAACACUGCACUGCAUUGUUGAACACCAGAAUUUGGCUCAUCUUCCUUCUCCUCACACAAGGUGCAAUGUACGUGAUUGAAAUGACCUAUAAUUGAAAAAAAAAAAAAAAGAGCAUGCAAAUUGGGACCACGUGCGUGCUGUUUUUACUGUUAAACUCAGCAGUACAGCAGAUGCUGUAACAUGCUCACUUGAAAUGACUGAAGGUACACUGCACCUGCACACAACAACCUGCCAUAACUGUCUCCAUUUUUGUGUAAUCCUUUUGUUCCCUUUGCAAAUUUCAAGCUUGGAAUCACACUGAAUUUUCAGGGCUGUUUGCCCUUAAAUGGGCAAAUGAAACUAAACAUUGAAGUAAGCAAAACAUGCUCACUGGUGGUUCAUCACUUCCCAAUUUUCCCCACUAACUUAAGGCCAAAAUGCUAUCCAUUUCACAGGGAUGCCUAUUUUCCUGCACUGCUAAAGAGAUCCUCUAUUAGUAAUAACGUCUUUAUUGUUUGGUUGUGGUCUCUCUCUACCUUUUUGUUCUGGUAAUAGUACUUUCAAUGCAUGGUCACAUUUAUGAUUCAUAAUUUUGGUUUUUGUUUUUCUACAUUGACUAGUGAAAAUCCAAUGUAAUCUUUCUGUAGUAAAGAUGUACCCUGCUGUACUGGAAUCAUGUGCUGUAGCCAACACGUCUGCUCAUUGGAUGCCGCUUUUGUUCUUUUUAACCCUAUAUGGAGCAUGGUGGGCCUUGCCUUCAGUCUAUGUUGUUUAUUUUUGUUGCAUGGAUUUAUACUAUUAUUACAAACAAACAAGAAAGAAAACACAAAUUCCACAUAUACUAAUAUUUUUCAAUAAAGAAUAUAGUGUUUUUCCUAACCUUCAGUGUGCUUCUUGCUGAUUUCCAUUUAUUGUCCUCCCUCUCCCUUGUCCCUACCUGCCCCCUCUCCACCCCCCACCCACCUCCUCUCCCGCUGUGACAAAGAUAGACGAUUUCCACGCUUCCUCCAUCACAGGGCCCGAAUGAGUCUAUCUGCUGUCAUUCAUGGUGAUCGUUUUCACUGAGACGCUUGAAAAUGCAGUGUGCUGCUUAAAGUCUAGACUUGACCCUUUGACCCACGGCAGCAAGGUCAUCUUUUCUCUGCCUGGUUAAGCUGAUGACCUUUUGAGAUGAAAAUAUUGCUGGAAAGUCAUACUCCUUAUUUUUCCUGGGUGUGUUUAAAAUCACACUGCCUUUCUCAAGCGUACUCCUAGUAAAUGCAAUGUAGACUUCGCCUAUUUCCUCAUGAUUUUUUGAAAAAAUUUUCCACUGUUUACAUCAGAAUUCGUCAUGUCUUUUACACUGUCAAGCAGAAUAAAUUCAAACUCUACUGGAAUUUUGCAUCUUCUGUAAGAACUGCACAAUUUUAAUCUCAAAACUGGCAGGUUUCUAUAAAAUCUUCACUUUCUGCCAAAUGGACAUAACAGAGCACAGUAUGUUGAAUCCUGCUCCACUGCAGGCCUAUUAUGGUUUUCUUUUGGCCAGGAUGUCCUCAAAAGUUCCUAAUCAAAGCUAAAUUUGUUACUGCAGAGUCUCCUUGUGGUAGUCCUUCCAUAAUCAAAAAGGUCUUUUUCAGCCUAAGCACAGUAUUAAAACCAUAUUGCACUACAGCACAAACGAGCCUGUCUUUUUCUCCUUGUUGAGUGUCAACGUCAGUCUGUGCGCUACAGUUGCCAAAUAGCUGUGGUCGGAGAGUAAAAAAAAAAGCAUUCAAGUUAUUUCCUCUCAACUCCUGAAUGUUCAUAUGGGAGAAGAACAAGUAGAGCUAUAUUGUAUAUGUAAGACUCAGAGAGACAGCAGAGUUCAGUGAAGUACAGAUAUACAUUAAUGUGAAUUUAUUUCCUGGUUUCAUUUUUAAGAAUGAAGGAAGUGUUCCUUAAGGUUGUAUAGAUAGAGACUUGGCACCUUCACAGAUUAAUGUAUUUCUUGCAGACAGCAAGGUACUAAAGGUUUACUCGCAUGAGUUCACUGUCUCGCUGUCAGCUGCAGAAUUUACAAGAACUGAGCUGCGUUGAAGACCAUAUACUGGUAGAUUUCAUCUGUUCUGAUCCAGUUCGCUUGUCUGUGAAUCAGAAGACCAGGAGUCGAUCCAGGGGUCGGAAAUGAAAUUAAAGACAUGAAAGCUCGCGUUUUGUGUGCAGGACCGAAAAUGGUUGUCAUGUUCAUGGUACUUGUGGUAACCAUCAUUUUCCCACCCCCACAGAAGUAUUUUUCACCCUAGGUAAGAGGUAGGGCUUCAUUAACAUGCUAUAUCACACACACAGUGACACCACAUUUCACCCACAAUUAAUUCCAGCUAAUCUCUCCCCUCAGGUGCCUGACAACUUCUCCUUAUCCUCCACAGGAUCCCAUUUCAA